AGGGGCGUAGCCAAGCGGUAAGGCAGCGGGUUUUGAUCCCGCCACGCCCAGGUUCGAAUCCUGGCGCCCCUGCCA
rnacentral:tRNA from 2 species